rnacentral:lncRNA from 1 species
UUUUGAAAAGUCUUGGCCCCCAACCAAAAAAAAAAAAAAAAAAAAUAUAAAAAAGAAAGAAAAGAAAUCGAAAAAAAAAAAGAAAAGAAAGAAAAGGGGGCUAGCAAAGUUGUUAAGAGCUAAAAUGUUUUGAGGUUGUAGAAAAAUCCCUUGUAGAUUUCAAAAAGGAAGAGUUAAAGUUCUUAAGAUCCUUUGGUGAGAGAUGUGAGUUGGGUUUGACAUUUGGGAAUGAUUGUGUA